AUAGAGACUCAGAGCUGCAUAUCAAUAAGCGGAGGAAAAGAAACUAACUAGGAUUCCCUUAGUAACGGCGAGUGAAGCGGGAAGAGCUCAAAUUUGAAAUCUUCAAGGUUCUACCUUGACGAAUUGUAGUUUAAUAGAAGUGUUUUCUGUUGGAGUGUAGUGCAAAAGUUCUUUGGAAUAGGACAUCAUAGAGGGUGAGAAUCCCGUAUUUGGUCAUUCCUCCUAGCGUUGUGAUACACUUUCAACGAGUCGGAUUGUUUGGGAAUGCAGUCCAAAAUGGGUGGUAAAUUUCAUCUAAAGCUAAAUAUUGGCGAGAGACCGAUAGCGAACAAGUACCGUGAGGGAAAGAUGAAAAGAACUUUGAAAAGAGAGUUAAACAGUACGUGAAAUUGUCAAAAGGGAAGCGUUUGACACCAGUGUUGUUUUUCCGAAAAUCAAUUACGAAUGUUUUGUUUUUAAGAAGUUAUGACUUCAUCGGCUUGCUUCCUUUCUUUACGAAACUUUAUUAAUGCACUUUUCGGUUAACAAGUCAACAUCAAUUUCUUUUGUUGUAAAAGGGUAUGAGGAAGGUGGCUUUCUUUUCGGAGAAAGUGUUUAUAGCCUUGUGCCUCUGCAAUCGGAGAGAUUGAGGUCUGCAGCGUAGAUCCUUCGGGGUUAGAUACAUUUGUGCUAAGCUUAUAGCUUUUUCAUAGACAACUUGUUGACUAUAUUUAGUCUUGUAGGCUUACUCGCUUAUGCUAUUUUACCUACGCUUAGGAUGUUGAUAGUCACAGCGUGUAC
rnacentral:rRNA from 1 species